CAAUAGUAUGUCCCAUUCCUCUUUUCAUACCCGUCUGAACCCACAUGAAGGCGCACAGUCUAGCACUGCAGCUGUCUGUGAAGGUUUAGUGCUCGGACUGGAACUGGAACUGGCCCUGUGAUUAUCUUUCUUCUCUGCUGGAGUAGACAGAGUAUAUUUCUACAGGAUAAAUAACGGAAAGCACGGGUAGUUUUGAGACUAUGCAGGAUUAUGACGACGCCACUGCAUUCCUGGGCCACUGGGGACCUUUCCAGCAAAGUGUCUUCUUUCUACUCAGUGCCAGCAUCCUACCAAAUGGAUUUGGGGCUUUUUCUCUAGUCUUCCUGACUGACAUGCCUAGUCACCACUGCCUGGUUCCUGAGGUGAACUUGACCCAAGAAUGGAAUGAAGCAAUCAUCCCGAUAAAGGUGGUGAAUGGGAAACAGGAGCUGAGCAGUUGCAGCAGAUACAGGCUGGAUGUGGUCAGAAAUCUCUCUGCUCAGGGAUAUAUUCCUGGCAGAGACGUCAACCUCACUGACCUGGAGCAAGAGGACUGUGUGGAUGGAUGGAGCUACAGCAAAGACAUCUACCGGUCUACCAUAGUGUCUGAAUUUGACUUGGUGUGCGGUGAGCAGUGGAAGCAGCCAUUCACGUCCACAAUUUACUUCCUGGGAGUUUUAGCUGGAUCCUUCAUUUCAGGACAGGUGUCAGACAGAUUUGGAAGAAAGCCUGUUCUCUUUGCAACCCUGGCAAUUCAAACAAUUUUUAGUUUUGUUGGAAUCUUCGCACCAUCUUGGACGGUGCUCUCCAUCAUCCUUUUCAUCAGUGGUUUGGGGCAAAUCUCCAACUAUGUGUCUGCUUUUGUACUAGGCACUGAAAUCUUGGCUGGCAAUGUGCGUGUCCUGUUCUCAUCUUUGGGUGUAUGUAUGGGUUUUGCCUUGGGCUACAUGAUGUUGCCUCUCUUUGCUUACUUUUUAAGGGACUGGAAAUCCCUCUUGCUGGCUUUGUCUGUGCCUGGUGUAAUAUACCUGCCUGCCUGGUGGUUCAUCCCAGAGUCUCCUCGAUGGCUGCUCACUCAGGGAAGAGUGGAAGAAGCUGAGGCCAUAGUGAGACAUGCUGCUAAGAAGAACAAAGUUGAGGCUCCACAGGUCCUCUUUGAAGAUUACAAUUAUGCUGGAUCAGAAAUAGUGCCCAAGACAGACAUCACACAAACUAAGGAGCAUUACAAUGUCUUCUACCUGCUGCGCACCACCAACAUCAGAAACACAACUGUUACUCUGUGCCUGGUGUGGUUCACUGUGAGUAUUGGCUACUUUGGCCUGUCCCUCAACACAUCCCGACUCCAUGCUAACCCAUAUUUAAGCUGUUUCAUCGCAGCAGCUGUAGAGGUGCCAUCCUACAUCUCUAGCUGGCUGGCUCUGCGAUAUCUUCCACGCCGGCUUUCCGUCAUUUGUGUUUUGCUCCUUGGAGGAGUGUCACUUUAUUUCGUUCAACUGGUGCCUCAAGGUUUAUCAUAUCUGUCUAUUGCUCUGGAGAUGCUGGGUAAAUAUGGUCUUACGGCUUGUACAUCCCUGAUAUUUGUCUACACAGCAGAGCUUUACCCCACAGUGCUCAGGAACACCACAACUGGGGUAUGUGCUACUCUGUCAAGAGUGGGAAGCUGUAUUGCACCUUUUGUGUUCGAGCUGAACACAAAACCCAGACCUCUCUCACACACAAAUUUCUCCCUGUACUUGUGCAGGUGUGUACUUUAAGUACCUGCCCUAUAUUCUACUGGGAACUCUGGCCAUUGUGUCUGCCUUUGCCACUUUCUUCCUACCAGAGAGUUUUGGACGACCUCUGCCUCAAACUAUUGAACAGAUGCAUAAGAAAGAAAGGAUGAAGUGCCCAUUCAUCACUAGAAAAGAACUUUCAAAACCUGUAGUACUUCACGAAAGUCAACUCUGAUUGUUUGGAAUAUAAGAAGAUUCAAAACUUCGAUUAUUUAUAAUUGAAACACAGGAUUUUGGGAGAAAUUAAGUUGUCUGCGUCAUAAAGACAGCGACGUUGACGUUUUGAAUCGCAAAAAUGUAUACAAAAUAUUCACCUGGAACUGUACUGUAAAAAAAUACAUAUUAGAUCUGAAGUAAAAGAUGGCCAUAAAACUCUAAACAAAACUAGUGUACUGGUUUUGAUUUACCAGGUAUAAUAUUAAAAACUUUCUACGAUG